rnacentral:rRNA from 1 species
GACGAACGCUGGCGGCGUGCUUAACACAUGCAAGUCGAACGGAAAGGCCCUGCUUUUGUGGGGUGCUCGAGUGGCGAACGGGUGAGUAACACGUGAGUAACCUGCCCUUGACUUUGGGAUAACUUCAGGAAACUGGGGCUAAUACCGGAUAGGAGCUCCUGCUGCAUGGUGGGGGUUGGAAAGUUUCGGCGGUUGGGGAUGGACUCGCGGCUUAUCAGCUUGUUGGUGGGGUAGUGGCUUACCAAGGCUUUGACGGGUAGCCGGCCUGAGAGGGUGACCGGCCACAUUGGGACUGGGGUACGGCCCAGACUCCUACGGGAGGCAGCGGUGGGGAAUAUUGCACAAUGGGCGGAAGCCUGAUGCAGCAACGCCGCGUGCGGGAUGACGGCCUUCGGGUUGUAAACCGCUUUCGCCUGUGACGAAGCGUGAGUGACGGUAAUGGGUAAAGAAGCACCGGCUAACUACGG